rnacentral:rRNA from 1 species
UAGCCUUGGAGUGGGGAAUAACAGCUGGAAACAGCUGCUAAUACCGCAUGAUGCAGUUGGGUCGCAUGGCUCUGACUGCCAAAGAUUUAUCGCUCUGAGAUGGACUCGCGUCUGAUUAGCUAGUUGGCGGGGCAACGGCCCACCAAGGCGACGAUCAGUAGCCGGACUGAGAGGUUGGCCGGCCACAUUGGGACUGAGACACGGCCCAGACUCCUACGGGAGGCAGCAG